UGUUGCUUAAAUUGUGUCACAGUGUCCAGUUUAGAAACUUAAUUUACACAAAGGCGUUGUAUAUUAUACCUUCAAAACACCGUCUAUCAAUAACAACUGAAGCCUUGCUGUUCGAUGAUAUUGCCUGUGCUAUUCUUCCAGCUGUUUGUACUAGUAAACUUCAGGGUAUCACUGCCCAGAGUACAUGCAGUGAAAAGAGGCCGUAUUUCAACUGUUUACACGAGAACAACUGUAAAUCGGGAACAGUUUAUCAAGCACAGGUGACAGCUUUUGAUUAUACGCAAUGUUCAGGUACCGCAUUACUGAUGUCGACUACCUUGUUAGUAGUGAUGACAAUAUUUGCUAAAUUCAUGUCAAACUAAAUCCCACCAAUAUGGCAGCAACAGCUCAAUUUAUACUUUCUGUUAUAAAACUAUUUUCAAUGUCAAUCAUAAUUUCUGUUCAAUCUGAUUAAAACACAGAUCCUAUUUCGUUUCGUUUUUCAUAGUUCAAAAUUUCGUUUUACUUGUCUUUACUACACUGGGAUCUGGAAGAGUUGUUAUAUAACAGACAUUCUAGUUGAUGUGAGGAAUUAGCAAAUGAAACCCCUAGAAACGUCAACGCUGAUUGAUUAAUCAAUGUCUGACGUCAAAGGGUCAAAAGUCACUCGUAUGACCUCUGACACGACAUGCCAUUACAACUGGUCAUAUCUUCUUGUAGUAUAAAAAAAAACGAAACAAAAUAUAGAUCUGUAUUUUAAUCAGAAUGAAUUUUUUCAUUUUGAACGAGUACUCCGUUUCGUACAGCUUCAGCAAGUUCUGUGUAGUUACGCGUGUUUUGCAAAAAGAUAUUCUUGUAAUUAA